rnacentral:tRNA from 1 species
UGGGCUAUAGCCAAGCGGUAAGGCAGCGGAUUUUGAUUCCGUCAUUCGUUGGUUCGAUUCCAGCUAGCCCAG